rnacentral:rRNA from 1 species
UGGGGAAUAUUGCACAAUGGGGGAAACCCGUGAUGCAGCGACGCCGCGUGAGUGAAGAAGUAUUUCGGUAUGUAAAGCUCUAUCAGCAGGGAAGAAAAUGACGGUACCUGACUAAGAAGCCCCGGCUAACUACGUGCCAGCAGCCGCGGUAAUACGUAGGGGGCAAGCGUUAUCCGGAUUUACUGGGUGUAAAGGGAGCGUAGACGGCUUGUCAAGUCUGAUGUGAAAGCCCGGGGCUCAACCCCGGCACUGCAUUGGAAACUGGUGAGCUGGAGUGCAGGAGAGGUAAGUGGAAUUCCUAGUGUAGCGGUGAAAUGCGUAGAUAUUAGGAGGAACACCAGUGGCGAAGGCGGCUUACUGGACUGUAACUGACGUUGAGGCUCGAAAGCGUGGGGAGCAAACA